rnacentral:lncRNA from 1 species
GAAAGAAAGAAAAGAAGAAAGAAAGAAAGAAAGGAAGGAAGGAAGAAAGGAAGGAAGAAAAGUGCCCCCCUUAUAGUCAUAUAACCAAAAACAAGUCCAGAUUUAAAUUCUCUACUUGAUGUUCCCUGUGUCUUCCAUCUGUAUAAGAAUCCUAAGGCUGGAAGGAAUGCCAGCUAUCAAGUAGACUAAUAUGGUUUGAUCAAGCAAGACCCCCGGAAGCAGUGACCCAACUGAUCCUACAUUCAAAACAGCUGGGACGAUACAGCCUUACAGACUACAAAAACAAGGACUUGAUUUAGUUUGUUGAGACAAGGUCCCAUGUGUUCCAGUCUGGCUCUGAACUUGCUACUUGACUGAGGCUGGCACUGAACUCCUGAUCUUCCUAAUCCAGUCUUUCAGGUAAUGAUGCUGCCACUCCCUUCUGAGGAACUCAGAAACAAUGGAAUUAUUGUGGCUCUUUCCUACUACCACCAUGCCUCAGAGGCCAUGUGAUCAUGAGAAAAUGCUGAAAGAGAAACUUUUGGUCCUGGGCUCACUGACUUAUUGGAGUUCAGAGAGGCCUGUAGCUGUGAGGUGAUGUGUGACUCCAUCCAGAUACCACAGUGGCUCAACAAAUGAACUAUGUCAGUGUGAAAUGUCUUUGUAAUGUCUGCAGAUACUUCUGUUGGGGAGACCCAGUCAUGGGCUUUUAAAAUUACUACACAUUUGAAACAAUAGCAUGGAAUACUUACAACAUUCAUUUAGUUUCCUAAGUGCAUAAAAGUUUAAACAUUUUAAAUUAGAAUUUAAAGAUAAUGUUAUGAACACGUGUCCCUUCAUGAACAUAUAAGUGAAUCUGUCUGUCUUGUAGUUGUGUGUCAUACUGGACAGGGACUGACUGAAUAUUUCAGAACAACUUCUUCUGACAAAGAAGGCAUAAAACUAACUUGUCAUUAAAGAUGCUUGUGUUGCCAGUUUCUAUAUAAAGAAAAGCUCACUGCAUCUGUUACUGUGAGUAAAGAAGCAAACGAAUACCAGAAGGGAAAAGUUAAGCAUUCAGCAAAUCAAUGACAUUCAUUGCUGUUUUUCCCACAAAAUGCAAGUCUGGUGAUAGUUUUUACAUAUUUAUACAUUAUGAAAUUUAAAAAUUCUAAUUACCAAUUUUUAAAACCCUAUGGGAUUGAUACAUGAUGAAUUCUAGUGUGUUUUGUUUAUGAUCUGUCUUUUGAUUUUAACAAUUAUCUUACUGGGUAGCUCCGUGUGUGGUAUGUGUGUGAACACAUGUGGGUGUGGAUGCAUUGUGUUUAUGAACUAUUUUUAAACAACAGCUUUAGGUUCACACCCCAGUUAAGAAGCACAUACAAAGAGCAUCCAUAUACCCCUGCUUUCACACGUAUACAGUCUCCUCUACUACCAACCUAACACCAGUGAUGUUUUUGAUAGAGUGAUACCACAUGCCACCUGCAGCCCACAGUUUAUAUUGGGAUUUACUCUUACUGGUCUACAUCCUAUGGGUUGCAACUCCUGGGGCAUGGCAUUUGUCCACUGUUGUACAGGUGACAUACUUUCACAGCAAUAAAAACCCUCUGCUCAUGCGGUUCACCUUUAUAUCCCAAAUGGCCUCUGCCAACCACUGAUCUUCAUACUGUCUCCAUAGAUUUUCCUUUUCCAGAAUGCUAUGUAGUUGGAGUCAUAUAGUACAGAGCUUUUGCAAAUUGCCUUCUUUCAUGUAGCAAGAUGCACUUAAGUGUCUUCUUGUAUUUUGUGGUUUAAAAAUGUACUUCAUUUUAGUGCUGAUAAAUAUUCCAUUGUCAG